GACCUAGUGUGGUGUAGUGGUUUGAAUGUCGGAUUAGGACUCUGGAGACCAGGGUUCGAUUGCCAGCUUGGCCA